CACCAUAGGACUGGCCGUCCCAUAUGAAAAGAUUAUAUUAGAAUUGAAUGAAGCUUUGUUUAUAUAUUGAUAAUGACAGUAUAUAUAUCGUGUCUUGACUAAUUGCGUGCCAGCAGUCGCGGUAAUACGUAAGAGACUAGUGUUAUUCAUCUUAAUUAGGUUUAAAGGGUACCCAGACGGUCAAUAUAGCUUAUAAAAUGUUAGUACUUGACUAGAGUUUUAUGUAAGAGGGCAGUACUUGAGGAGGAGAGAUGAAAUUUCGUGAUACCAAAGGGACUCUGUAAAGGCGAAGGCAGCCCUCUAUGUAAAAACUGACGUUGAAGGACGAAGGCACAGAGAACAAACAGGAUUAGAUACCCAAGUAGUCUUUGCAGUAAAUGAUGAAUGCCAUAGGUUAGAUUGGUCAAUUAUAGUCUAGGGUUAGUCUAGCAAACUAAUGCCCUAUGCUAUAAUUCCAAAUAUCUGGUCUAUAAAUGAAAGUGUAAGCAUUUCACCUCAAGAGUAAUGUGGCAACGCAGGAAC
rnacentral:rRNA from 1 species